rnacentral:rRNA from 1 species
GAUGAACGCUGGCGGCGUGCCUAAUACAUGCAAGUCGAGCGAACGGACGAGAAGCUUGCUUCUCUGAUGUUAGCGGCGGACGGGUGAGUAACACGUGGAUAACCUACCUAUAAGACUGGGAUAAUUUCGGGAAACCGGAGCUAAUACCGGAUAAUAUUUUGAACCGCAUGGUUCAAAAGUGAAAGACGGUCUUGCUGUCACUUAUAGAUGGAUCCGCGCUGCAUUAGCUAGUUGGUAAGGUAACGGCUUACCAAGGCAACGAUGCAUAGCCGACCUGAGAGGGUGAUCGGCCACACUGGAACUGAGACACGGUCCAGACUCCUACGGGAGGCAGCAGUAGGGAAUCUUCCGCAAUGGGCGAAAGCCUGACGGAGCAACGCCGCGUGUGUGAUGAAGGUCUUCGGAUCGUAAAACUCUGUUAUUAGGGAAGAACAUAUGUGUAAGUAACUGUGCACAUCUUGACGGUACCUAAUCAGAAAGCCACGGCUAACUACGUG